rnacentral:rRNA from 1 species
GCAUGCAAGUCGAGCGAUGAGACUCCUACGGGAGCACAUCAGCGGCAGACGGGUGAGUAACACGUAGAUGACGUACCCUCAAGACGGGGAUAACGGGUGGAAACAUGCGCUAAUACCGGAUGACCUUACGAUGUCAGAAUGGUAAGGAAAGCUACGGCGCUUGAGGAGCGGUCUGCGGCCCAUCAGCUAGUUGGUAGGGUAAAGGCCUACCAAGGCGAAGACGGGUAGGGGGUGUGAGAGCACGGUCCCCCACAAUGGGACUGAGACACGGCCCAUACUCCUACGGGAGGCAGCAGCAGGGAAUAUUGCACAAUGGACGGAAGUCUGAUGCAGCGACGCCGCGUGAGUGAAGAAGGCCUUCGGGUUGUAAAACUCUUUUGAGGGGGAAGAGCGAGGACGGUACCCCUGGAAUAAGCGUCGGCUAACUACGUGCCAGCAGCCGCGGUAAGACGUAGGACGCGAGCGUUAUCCGGAUUUACUGGGCGUAAAGCGUCUGUAGGCGGAUGUGUCCGUUGGGCGUGACAGCUCCGGGCUUAACCCGGAGAGG